UCCUUCCACUCCCCACGCCCCGUAUAUCUCUCGGUUGAUUUCCAUCCUAAUUUGUAACUGACAUAUUUGAGCGUCUCUUUCCUCCACGAUAUUCCUCUCUCACGCCGAAUUACCACCCAACGGAGCCUUACGCAGCAAAACCAGAAAACCCACACUCACAGCCAACCGAGACACUUACCUCGCCGGAGAAUAUGCCGACGGGCGUUGGAGUUCUCGAUAGCCACGGAAUCUGCCGGCCGAUCUCCUUCCAUCAAGCACCCGCCGCUCCGGUAACGAGCUACAGAGUAAGAUUCAGGAAGCAACGCUAUGAGGUAACAUUCCAGACCUACGGAAAGGAGUGUUCCAGAUAGCCCAUCAGAUUUUCUACUCGGUGGGAAUCUUUGGGAGCUUCAAACCUACCUCUAAAGCAAUUUCUAUUUUCGUAAGAUAAAGGAGCUUGCAAAAAAUUACAGCUAACUUUCCAGUUCCUCCAAAUGAACUGAAAGCUUUGUUCUUUCUUCUUAAGAACAUGGUCAAAGGAACCUUGGUAAAAAUCGUAUAUAUGAUAAUUCAAUUACACACCAUAAUCAGGGGCAAUUUGCUUGCAUAUGUGUGUUAGACCACCACAAAAAUACAAACAAAAAGAUUUUGAAGAGUUAAA